AGAGUUUGAUCAUGGCUCAGGAUAAACGCUGGCGGCGUGCCUUACACAUGCAAGUCGAGCGGAGAAAAUCUGCUGGGGCAACCCAGAAGGUUUUCUUAGCGGCAAACGGGUGAGUAAUGGAUGGGUUACCUACCCUGAAGAUGGGGAUAGCCUUCCGAAAGGAAGGGUAAUACCCAAUAAUGUCAGAGAAUUUUGGUUCUCUGAAGAAAGGUGGCGCAAGCUACCACUUCGGGAUGGGCUCGUCUCCUAUCAGCUAGUUGGUGAGGUAAUGGCUUACCAAGGCUAUGACGGGUAGCUGGUCUGAGAGGAUGGUCAGCCACACUGGGACUGCGACACGGCCCAGACUCCUACGGGAGGCAGCAGUGGGGAAUAUUGGUCAAUGGGCGAAAGCCUGAACCAGCGACGCCGCGUGGAGGAUGAAGGCCGCAAGGUCGUAAACUCCUUUUGCAAGGGAAAAAGGAAUGGAGGGCGAAUAGCUCUUCAUUCUUGAUUGUACCUUGGGAAUAAGCCCCAGCCAACUACGUGCCAGCAGCUGCGGUAAAACGUAGGGGGCAAGCGUUAUCCGGAUUUACUGGGUGUAAAGGGUACGUAAGCGGAUUUGCAAGUUGGGUAUAAAAACUUGAGGCUUAACCUCAAGCUUGUGCUCAAUACUGCAAGUCUGGAGAGCAGGAGAGGGAAGUGGAAUUCCCGGUGUAGCGGUAAAAUGCGUAGAUAUCGGGAGGAACACCAGUGGCGAAGGCGGCUUCCUGGCCUGUCUCUGACGCCCAUGUACGAAAGCUAGGGUAGCAAACAGGAUUAGAUACCCUGGUAGUCCUAGCCCUAAACGAUAGGUGCUUGGUGUUGGAGGGUUAUUCCUUCAGUGCCGUAGCUAACGCGUUAAGCACCUCACCUAGGGAGUACGGCCGCAAGGUUGAAACUCAAAGGAAUUGACGG
rnacentral:rRNA from 1 species